UUCUUAUUAAAUGAUGAUUGUCACGUGUCAUAUUUUGAUUGAAUGUCGAAUGCAUGGAAGAUAUGAAUUAUUGUUGUCAUUGGGCAAUCAGAACAUGAUAUCUGACCGUCAUCAUCC
rfam:Glycine soja cultivar W05 scaffold4745_1, whole genome shotgun sequence.